rnacentral:tRNA from 1 species
ACUAUUUUGGCAGAAUAUUGCAAUAAAUUUAGAAUUUAUUUAAAUAUAAUUAAAUUAUAUAAUUAGUA